rnacentral:rRNA from 1 species
AGAGUUUGAUCAUGGCUCAGGAUGAACGCUAGCGGCAGGCUUAAUACAUGCAAGUCGAGGGGCAGCAUGGGUAGCAAUACCUGAUGGCGACCGGCAAACGGGUGCGGAACACGUACGCAACCUUCCCGAAACUGGUGAAUAGCCCUCCGAAAGGAGGAUUAAUACACCGUAACAUAAUGAAGUGGCAUCACUUUAUUAUUAUAGCUCCGGCGGUCUCGGAUGGGCGUGCGCCUGACUAGGUAGUUGGCGGGGUAACGGCCCACCAAGCCUUCGAUCAGUAACUGGUGUGAGAGCACGACCAGUCACACGGGCGCUGAGACACGGGCCCGACUCCUACGGGAGGCAGCAGUAAGGAAUAUUGGUCAAUGGACGCAAGUCUGAACCAGCCAUGCCGCGUGGAGGAUGAAGGUCCUCUGGAUUGUAAACUUCUUUUAUUUGGGAAGAAACCCACGAUUUCUAUUGUGGUUGACGGUACCAGAUGAAUAAGCACCGGCUAACUCCGUGCCAGCAGCCGCGGUAAUACGGAGGGUGCAAGCGUUAUCCGGAUUUACUGGGUUUAAAGGGUGCGCAGGCGGAUUGCCAAGUCCGUGGUGAAAUCUCUGGGCUUAACCCGGAAAUUGCCGUGGAUACUGGUAGUCUUGAAUGUUGUGGAGGUAAGCGGAAUAUAUCAUGUAGCGGUGAAAUGCUUAGAUAUGGUAUAGAACACCUAUUGCGAAGGCAGCUUACUACGCAAAUAUUGACGCUCAUGCACGAAAGCGUGGGGAUCAAACAGGAUUAGAUACCCUGGUAGUCCACGCCCUAAACGAU